UGCAGUCGAACGGCAGCACGGGGGCAACCCUGGUGGCGAGUGGCGAACGGGUGAGUAAUACAUCGGAACGUGUCCUGUAGUGGGGGAUAGCCCGGCGAAAGCCGGAUUAAUACCGCAUACGCUCUACGGAGGAAAGGGGGGGAUCUUAGGACCUCUCGCUACAGGGGCGGCCGAUGGCAGAUUAGCUAGUUGGUGGGGUAAAGGCCUACCAAGGCGACGAUCUGUAGCUGGUCUGAGAGGACGACCAGCCACACUGGGACUGAGACACGGCCCAGACUCCUACGGGAGGCAGCAGUGGGGAAUUUUGGACAAUGGGGGCAACCCUGAUCCAGCAAUGCCGCGUGUGUGAAGAAGGCCUUCGGGUUGUAAAGCACUUUUGUCCGGAAAGAAAACCUCUGCCCUAAUACGGUGGGGGGAUGACGGUACCGGAAGAAUAAGCACCGGCUAACUACGUGCCAGCAGCCGCGGUAAUACGUAGGGUGCAAGCGUUAAUCGGAAUUACUGGGCGUAAAGCGUGCGCAGGCGGUCCGCUAAGACAGAUGUGAAAUCCCCGGGCUUAACCUGGGAACUGCAUUUGUGACUGGCGGGCUAGAGUAUGGCAGAGGGGGGUAGAAUUCCACGUGUAGCAGUGA
rnacentral:rRNA from 1 species